rnacentral:lncRNA from 1 species
CUAUGAUAAGGGGAUGAUUUAUCCUCCAUUCACCAAUAUCAGGAAGAUCUCAGCUCAUAUUGCUGCAAAUGUAGCUGCUAAGGCAUAUGAACUUGGUUAGUAACCUAUUAGAUUGCAUCGUAUGUUUGUGAGGUUGAAGAUGAUAUGUUUGUGCUGACGUAUCUAUCUACAGGUUUGGCGACGCGACUCCCUCGACCUGCAGACUUGGUUAAGUACGCUGAGAGCUGCAUGUUCACUCCAAAUUACAGAAACUACCGUUGAAGAUUAUGCAAGAUUUGCUUGUUCCAGAAAGCACAUCUCGUCUUUGUAUUUGUUUGUGAGCUUGUUUCCUAUCUUUUGGCUCUAACCUUGUGUUGCCGAUCAAGUUCCAAGUCUCUGUGAGAUCUGUGUAU